GCUUUUUUUCCCAUGUGUUUGGAUCUAAUUUAGUGGAGUCUCCUUUUGGUUACCAUUUAAUUAUCCAUUUGGUCAUCAUUUUGGAAUAAAAAAUACCAAGAAAUAUAGCAAUGAGACUUCUCUCCCCCCAAUUUCUCAGUGAUUCAGAUCCUGGAACAGUUCAGAGGAACAAGAAGGCUUAAAAGGAUUAUAAUGAAACAUUAAUGAGGUUGUGUGACAAGAAGAAUAAUGUAUUUUAAUUUCUCAUCCAUAUAAUUCUUUUGUUAAAAAAAUAAAAGCAUUGUUCAUAAUGUUUCACUGUUUAAAA